CAGAUAAUGGCUUACCUAGCAAAGGAGUGCCUGCUGUUGGAUCCUGAUGCUCGACCAAUCAUGGGUGAGGUUGCGCAAAUCCUCUCAACUAUUGCCCCAGAGUAGUCUAGAAGGAGAACAUCCCUGUAAAUCUCUUUAAGAUGUCUUCCUUACACAGCAUUGAAAAGUCUUGUCAAUGCAGCAAAGCUGAGACAAGUCAUGUCAGUUAAACAUUCAAAAACCAGACAUUCGAGUUGUCAGUCUUGUCAAUGCUCCCUGUUCUAUGGCAUUAGAUGUUGAGCUCAGCAGCAAGGGAUCAGUUCCUGUUUCAUUAGAAUACAUGGAAAGAUUGAUUUUCUUGACUUGAAAAGCUAGGAGUUGGUGUGCCAAGGAUGAUGAAGCUGUGGACUUAACUGAACCUUGGUUUGAAUCAUUCCGCAUGGCAAAUGAAUCGCCUUGACAAACUAGCCACACUGAAGCAAGUGUUUGAGGCUGUCCAUUAUAUAUAUAUAUAUAUAUAUAUAUAUAUAUAUAUAUAUAUAUAUAUAUUGGUAUAAUGCUCAUGUUGAUUUGUAUUCAGAUGCCCAUGUUGGAUUGUGAUAAUGCUCUUUUUCCAUGAUAUUUAUUUGGUUACUACAGUGCUUUCUCACUAUUCAAA